ACGGCACGGUUGCGGCCAAUCGGCGUCGGGCACGGUGCGCCUGCGUACUGCGCGCUCGAGCGGCCGAGCGGAGCCUCGGCGCUGCGGCGGAGCACGACAUGGAGCCGGGAUACGGCGGUUAUGGCUCCUGGAGUACUGGAGCCGCCAACACACAAGGUACCUACGCAGCGGGUGCGACAAGCUGGCAAGGCAUGGCGGCAAAGGAGAACUACGAGGGGUCCUCGUGGCAGAGCUGGCAGUCCCACUACGAGAGCCCCAGGCCGGACAUGGGGAAGGCUGCACAAGGUCAGAGGUCCCUUCAAACCCAAACCAUUCUGUGACCCUCAAGGACCCUUCCUCUCCAAACCAUUCUAUCACUCUAUGGUUCUGUAAUGCUUAAGGACCUUUACAACCCAUCCAUUUUGUGAUUUCAUGGUUCUGUGACUUUUAAGGACCUUCCGACCUAUUUCAUCAUGCCAUGAUCUCAAAGGACCCUUCCAACACAAGCUGUCCUAUGCUGAUGGAAUUUUUCAACCAAACCAGUUCCAAGAUUCCAUGGUUCUGUGACCUAUAAGGACACAUUACCACUCAGGCAUUUUUAGGGUUGUGUG